UGGGGAAUAUUGCACAAUGGAGGGAACUCUGAUGCAGCGACGCCGCGUGAGUGAUGAAGGAAUUCGUUUCGUAAAACUCUGUUCUAUGGGAAGAAAAGGACUGUACCAUAGGAGAAAGCUCCGGCUAAAUACGUGCCAGCAGCCGCGGUAAUACGUAUGUAGCGAGCGUUGUCCGGAAUUAUUGGGCGUAAAGGGUGCGCAGGCGGCUUUACAAGUUGGAUGUGAAAUAUUGUGGCUCAACCACAAACGUGCAUCCAAAACUGCAAAGCUUGAGUUAAGGAGAGGUAAGUGGAAUUCCUGGUGUAGCGGUGGAAUGCGUAGAUAUCAGGAGGAAUACCGGUGGCGAAGGCGACUUACUGGACUUAAACUGACGCUCAGGCACGAAAGCGUGGGGAGCAAACAGG
rnacentral:rRNA from 1 species